UACGUAGGGGGCUAGCGUUGUCCGGAAUCAUUGGGCGUAAAGCGCGUGUAGGCGGUCCGGUAAGUCCGCUGUGAAAGUCGGGGGCUCAACCCUCGGAUGCCGGUGGAUACUGUCGGGCUUGAGUACGGAAGAGGCGAGUGGAAUUCCUGGUGUAGCGGUGAAAUGCGCAGAUAUCAGGAGGAACACCAAUGGCGAAGGCAGCACUCUGGGACGUGACUGACGCUGAGACGCGAAAGCGUGGGGAGCAAACAGG
rnacentral:rRNA from 1 species